AUAGUUUUGCUAGAUAUUUGAGCAUUUUUGUGUUCCUUAUCCUAUUAGUGGUCUUUGGUCACCCAUGUACAUAUGUUAAUAUAUCAAUAUGUCAUGUGAUUUCAUGCCAUUUCCAUUUUCUUUAGUAUUCUGGAAUACAUCAUAUAGAGAGAAUAGGGACAAAACAUUUGGAUAAACAUGAAGGGCAGAGAAAUGGCCAACUUCUUCAUAGAGGAAGCUGUUUAUCCUCAAGUGAGUCAUUGUCUGUAAGCUAUUUUCCAUAUCUGAAAGGAAGGUGUCCUUGUGUCUCACAGGUGCUUUAGUUAUGUUUCUUGAUUGGGAUCCUAAACAUAACACAUUGAACCCAUCAACUUUUCAGACCCUCAACACCCCAGUGGCUUUUCCUCAAAGUGACAAAGCAUAGUUUAUAGAAAGCAGAAUGUAAAGAACAAAAUAUUACUAAUACUGUAAUUAUAGAAAACCAAUGAUUCAUUCAAUGAAUGCCAAGGACAAGAAAAGAAAGAUUUGUUAAAAAACUAGAGUUAAGAUUUUGACUCAUUCUACUUCAAAGCAACUUCCAAGGAAGUA